rnacentral:pre_miRNA from 1 species
UAUAUAUUCCCUCUGUCUCAGCAUUUUUGUUUUAGAUUUGUCUAAAUAUGAAUGUAUCAAGUCAUAUUUUAGUAUUAGAUACAUCCAUAACUAGAUGAAUUUAAGACAAGAAUUUUGGGAUGAAGGAAGAAGUAU